GACGAACGCUGGCGGCGUGCCUAAUACAUGCAAGUCGAGCGCAGGAAAUCGACGGAACCCUUCGGGGGGAAGUCGACGGAAUGAGCGGCGGACGGGUGAGUAACACGUAAAGAACCUGCCCUCAGGUCUGGGAUAACCACGAGAAAUCGGGGCUAAUACCGGAUGGGUCAUCGGACCGCAUGGUCCGAGGAUGAAAGGCGCUCCGGCGUCGCCUGGGGAUGGCUUUGCGGUGCAUUAGCUAGUUGGUGGGGUAAUGGCCCACGAAGGCGACGGUGGAUAGCCGACCUGAGAGCGUGAUCGGCCACACGGGGACUGAGGAACGGGCCAGACUCCGACGGGAGGCAGCAGUAGGGAAUCUUCCACGAUGGACGAAAGUCUGAUGGGGCAACGCCGCGUGAACGAUGAAGGCCUUCGGGUCGUAAAGUUCUGUUGUAAGGGAAGAACAAGUGCCGCAGGCAAUGGCGGCACCUUGACGGUACCUUGCGAGAAAGCCACGGCUAACUACGUGCCAGCAGCCGCAGUAACAC
rnacentral:rRNA from 1 species